rnacentral:rRNA from 1 species
GGGUACCUUGUUACGACUUCUCCUCGUUGCUGACCCCAGGUUCGAUAGUACCAAUUAGGCGCUACCUCGCCAAGAACCAACUUCGAUGAAGCGACGGGCGGUGUGUGCAAGGAG